GCCACUUUAGCUCAGACUGGUAGAGCACUCGCCUUGUAAGCGAAUGGUCGUCGGUUCAAAUCCGACAAGUGGCUCCA
rnacentral:tRNA from 1 species